AGCAGGUCUGGCAGUGGGCAGGGCGCUGCUGGCGGGGUCGGUGGAGGGGGCUGCAGCGGCGGCAGGCGGCGGGGUGCCCGCCGCUCGGCUCGGCGCUGCUGGACGGACAGCUCCCACCAUGGACGCCUAGGUGCAAGUCUUCCAAGAGAGGAGCCCACAGUCUUCUCCAACUCACCAGUUAAUUGUGUUCAAGCUCUGCUUUCCUGAGCUGUGCUGAAAGUCUUUAGAAUUCUUUACAAGCCCUGGGAAAAUGGCAGUGGAACAUCUGGAAACAAGAAGUUUCACUUCAUUGUGAUGGAGAAAGAAAUGAAGGAACAUUUUGGCAGUGUGAUACUGAGCAGACUGCUUGGUUUUCCAGUAGACUGGAAGAUUUUAAGAUUUAGAAUCACUUAGCUGCCGAAGAAGUCAAGUACUAACAUGCUCUCAGCUCUGCCGUCAAAACACUAAGAAAAUGGAGGGUAUAGGUAUGUUGUGAUUCCUGCAUAAGGAGUAUGUGGCAAAAGUAAGAGAAUGCAGACUAUGGCUGCGUGCUGCAAAUCUCUGAAUACACCCU